UCUGCCUCAGAACAUCCGUCCCAUUCCCACUGCUUGAAUCACCUCCACACAAAGCUUAAAUGUCUCACUCCCCAUAUUCAUUAACUCUCUAGUUAAAUAGAAAUUGUCUCUGUUAAUAGGUCUAUACAGUUAUUAAUAAUUCCAAAUGUUUUGGAAACUGCAAUUUUGUGAAACUUUAAAAUUACAGGGAUAAAAUUUGUAUUCAUUAAUGUUCUUUUCAGGAAGAACUACAUUGACGCCACCUUAGGCAGAUGGCAUUUAUCUUAUUUCUCAAAGGCCUACGGAAGAGAUAAAAUUGGUAGGAGGCCAUUAUUUGCACUGAGCUCCUCCACUGGGCCCAACAGACCAAACCACAAUGGAGUCACUCGUGCCAAAGCUGCAUGUCACGGAGCCGAAACUGAGCUGUUGAUCUGACCUUCUGAGAAACCAGGAGAGUGAGAGCUUUUUGCUGCCUCUAAAAACCAACCUCCUCUGCUCAUCGGAACACUCAUUCUAUUUUACAGAAUGAAGUGUUGCCCAGUUCUAGAAUCACAAAUAAAAGCCAAUAAAGAUCUUUAAACUA